rnacentral:rRNA from 1 species
AUUGAACGCUGGCGGCAUGCUUUACACAUGCAAGUCGAACGGCAGCGGGGGCUUCGGCCUGCCGGCGAGUGGCGAACGGGUGAGUAAUGCAUCGGAACGUGCCCAUGUCGUGGGGGAUAACGUAGCGAAAGCUACGCUAAUACCGCAUACGUCCUGAGGGAGAAAGCGGGGGAUCUUUGGACCUCGCGCGAUUGGAGCGGCCGAUGUCGGAUUAGCUAGUAGGUGAGGUAAAGGCUCACCUAGGCGACGAUCCGUAGCGGGUCUGAGAGGAUGAUCCGCCACACUGGGACUGAGACACGGCCCAGACUCCUACGGGAGGCAGCAGUGGGGGAAUUUUGGACAAUGGGGGCAACCCUGAUCCAGCCAUGCCGCGUGAGUGAAGAAGGCCUCGG